AUGGCGGGAUCUGUUUUUGUGCUGCACCCGGGGGCUGUGAGCCAAGAUACUCAGUACUUCGGUGCGGGCACCAGGCUCUCGGUGCUAGCGGCGGCGCAAACUUUCGGCUCCGGCAGCCGGCUGACCUGGGAGUUUGCGAGCUGGGCUGUGCCUCCGUGCUCCUAUGAGCAGUACUUCGGUCCCGGCACCAAGCUCACGGUCACAGAGGACCUGGCAAACGUGAGCCCACCCCAGGUCGCCAUGUUUGAGCCAUCAGAAGCAGAGAUCGCCAGCACCCAGAAGGCCACGCUCGUGUGCCUGGCCAAAGACUUCUACCCUGACCACGUGGAGCUGAGCUGGUGGGUGAACGGGAAGGAGGUCCACAAUGGGGUCAGCACGGACCCCCAGCCCUACAGGGAGGAUGCCGAUUCCAGUCACUCCAAAUACUGGCUGAGCAGCCGCCUGAGGGUGUCAGCUGCCUUCUGGCACAACCCCCGCAACCACUUCCGCUGCCAAGUCCAGUUCUUUGGACUCACGGAGGACGACGAGUGGACUUACAACGGUAGUAAACCCGUCACCCAGAACAUCAGUGCUCACACCUGGGGCAGAGCGGACUGUGGCAUCAGCUCGGCAUCCUAUCAGCAAGGGGUCCUGUCUGCUACCGUCCUCUAUGAAAUCCUGCUGGGGAAGGCCACCCUGUACGCUGUGCUGGUCAGCGCCCUGGUGCUGAUGGCCAUGGUCAAGAAAAAGAAUCCCUGAAGCCACUCCACACGGGUACCUGAGUCAUUCUUCGCCCUCACCCUGGAUUCCCCGGCACUUGUUACUGAUUUGUGCUCCUGAAAAGUUGUUCCCUCUGCACCUCUCAUCCUCUUUCUGCUGGGCUAUUUGUUUUCCUCUCUGCUGCCCCACAGACUGAGCUCCUAUCUCUGAAUGUGAAAUAGAAUGAACAA